GGGUCUUUCCAUACAAGUGCUCCUGAACAGACCUGGUUCUUCCCAUCCACUGCACACUGCGCGCCAUCGUGCGCUUCACCAUUCUUCAUUACCUAGCUCCUUACUGAAGGACAUUUAGGUUGUUGCCUAUGUUUGGCUGUUACAAACAAGCUGCUGGUUCGAUUUUCCUUUUUUUUUUUUUUUUUCUGAGACGGAGUCUCGAUCUGUCGCCCAGGCUGGAGUGCAGUGGCGCGAUCUCGGCUCACUGCAACUUCCGCCUCCCGGGUUCAAGCGAUUCUCCUGCCUCGGCCUCCUGAGUUGCUGGAUCUACAGAUGCCCACCACCACGCCCGGCUAAUUUUCAUUUUUAGUAGAGACGGGGUUUCACUAUGUUGGCCAAGCUGUUCUCGAACUCCUAGGCUCAAAUGAUCCGCCCGCCUCGGCCUCCCAAAGUGCUGGGAUUACAGGCGUGAGCCACCGCGCCCGGCCCGAUUUGCGUUUUAAAGUCGCUCUGAACAAUAAAAUCCGGAAGGACUGGAGGGGAGGCUCCGACCUUCUCCCUGUCUGGGCAGGUGUGCUGGUGCCGGGCAGGAACGGUGCCUUGGGACAGCCUGGCCCCGGCCUCACAACGGGCCCCGGGCGCUCAGUCAUAUUCCGUGGCCGCUCCAACACCCCCUACCCCCACCAGCAGGCGCGGCUCUCUUUCGGGGCUGGACUGCAUUUUUUGGACAUGAGUCGGCGAGUGAGGGUGAAACUCAGGCCAAAGUCUCCAGAGCCGCUCGGAGAAAACGCUGCCUGGAACAGAAGAGCAGAGGAUCAGAGGCACCACCAGAGACUCUCAGAGUGGGUUAUUACCCUGGUGGGGGCGCCUGCUGCGGCGUAGGAGAUGGCGGGACUGGGGGCGCGGGUGUGAAGCCCCCAAGAAAUCUGUGUGAAUUUCCUGGGGAGGUAAGGUCUCCAGGCGCUCUCUCUGGGCCCGGGGAUUGGUCCGGGAAGGUCUCCUGGCGCCUACCCAGCCCCCACUGCCUGGACGCCUGCGCCUGCUCUGCCGCCCCACAGCGACCGCGAAGGCCAGCUUCUUCGAAAGGCCCAUUUUUCUCCGUGGCUGAGCGAAUGCUCCUAGAAUACCACGUUUAUAAUAAAUCAUGUAGGGUGGAAUUCCUGCUGGAUGUAUACACCUUUCUGCAUCAGAGCUCUUCAAACCCAGAAUGGUGAAUAGCUACCCCUGGGCUUACCCUUUUAUAAUUUUCAACAAACCUGCGUUUAGCCCCGGCUAGGUGCCAGCAAGUUGCUAGGGACUGAGGAGGCUCUGCAGAGGACCCGAGCUGAGGCCCUAAUCCUCAAGGCCAAUGGCAGGGGUCACCGCCCAGGCACCCCCAGAGAACGCGGUGUGAAGGAAAAGACACCAAACUCGGUGUUCAAAUGUGUGGGAUCUAUUCUAGUUCUGAUUCUGACACUUGCAAGUCAUGCAUCCUCCGAGCCUCGGCUUUCUCACCUAUAAAAUCUUCAACGUGACCUAUAAAAAUCCAUAAAAUCACCCCUGCUUCAUUGUUUCCCAGGGCUCAUAGAAACAUCAUACAAGGUGGAGAAGAGUACCCAAGAAGGACAAGCUUGGAAUGGGGCCCCCUCCCCAGGCUGGAGAUCAGACAUUGUUGGAGAAGGUAUCAUUGCAGCCCCCUACAUAGCAGAGAGAUUUGCUGAGUUGCAUAGUCUAGAGCUGGUUGCAAUUAUUGGACAAGCAGGAAACAAACCUCCACAGCCCAUGCGAGCCACACUGCUGGGUUGAGUGUAUGAGCAUGUAGAAUGAUUGGGUCUCCAGUGCGGACAGAAGGCAUGGAUCGCGUGGUGCCUGUGUUGGGAGGAUACUAAGAGGGCGAUCACCAUGCCAGGACAAGACUAGUUGCCUGGGAUCUUCUGGGCACGUGACUGGAGCAGAGUACCACUGGAUCUCCUCACACCAGCCAGACCCAGGAAGAGAAGCUCCUUUCACCUGCACUGUUCUCUCAGCACCCUCCACGGAGAAAGCUUCAUGUUAUGCUUAGUGUACAGGAGAAAUGCUCAUGGGAAUCCUGUCCAUUAUCACAGAGCAGGUAUUAGUGGGUGAAUAUGGAGCUGAGAAGUAAUAAGUUGUAACUGGCAUAGAUAUCAUGGGGAUAUUUGAAGAACGCUGUGAACACAUAUGCAUGGGUCCAUGUAUUCAUGAGUGUGCACAUAUGUGUAAUUAUUCAUACAAUUCAUGGUGGAUACUACUUCGAGGGUGUUCACAGACCCCAGGCAGAGAGCGCCUGGAGGGAAAAUUAUCCAAGGCAGGCCCAUUCAUAGUUCCAGGACAGCCAGAAGAAAGCCUCCGUUAAGCACCAGAAGUCUCCGGGGCAGGUGGGGCCAGGCAGCAUGAAAGAAUUGGCCGCAAGAGUUCCAAACCCUGUCCCAAUUAUGGAGGGUGACUUUUCUUUGUCCUCCUUCUCCAUUCCCUUCCAUAUUGCUCAUGCAUCCAAAGGGAGACCUGAAGACUCUCUAGCAGGGCAAGGCCAUUUUCUUUUGGCAUUUUUCUCUCCCCAGAGUCUAGCUGAUUAUCAGCUUAGACACACAGCAGGCUAUGUGCUGUGAACAACAGGCAUCCUGGGUUAUUUUACAAACUCAUGGAUAGUCAUUUUGAAACCACCUUUGCAAAAUUGUGACUGAAACAGUGAAAGAGAGCUAACUUAACCAGCUCCAUCUUGUUUCUAACCUCCAAGCUGUCUUUGUUCAUUCCUGGGCGUAGGCUGAACUAACUUUGGGAGAAACUUAGUUUGUAGUUAUAGUUUAAACAAAGACUGUGACAGCCCUUUCCCAAUGCAGACCUCCUUCUUGUCUGGGGACUAGACUAACAUUAGCCACAGGAUUAGAAAUUACGGUUUAGGAGUCACGCAGCUGGAGGCUACAAGAUUCUGACCCUCCCUAAACUGCUUCUAAGAUCAGUGCUUGAGACAUGUUGCAGACCCCGCACUUGCUGGAUCAGCUGACGCCACACAGAUGGAUAAACUGCCUCGUCUGAUCUUGUGGCCCCCACCCGGGAACUGACGAAGCGCAAGAAGACAGCUUCGACUCCCUGUGAGUUCAUCCCUGACCAACCAGCACUCCUGGCUCACUGGCUUCCCCCUACCAAGUUAUGCUUAAAAAUUCUGCUCCCCGAAUUCUCGAGGAGACUGAUUUGAGUGAUAAUAAAACUCCAGUCUCCCGCACA
rnacentral:lncRNA from 10 species